AUGGUAGAUUCCAUGAGAAUUUUAUAUAUGUCAAGAACGAAGAACUUUGCAAACAUACCUACUGAGGGAGUCUUGACAAAUCGACCACUGUAAAGCAGCUAAUCCAUGUAGCUCACUCUGCAGUUCACAGACAUUUUCAAUCUCAUUCAUAUAUUCCUCCAUAUAUAUGUUUUCCUAGUUUCCCUGCUAGAGUAUAUGCCAUGACAUUCAAACGUUCAAAUAUUGAACAUAAAAUGUAAUGCUAAAAAAUGCUUAAAAAAAAAGGGCAAUCAAAAUACCAUUUUGGUUUGAAGAAAAGAAAGUUCAUCUCAUUCAAUUGAUGCUUGUAUCAGUUGGCAUUCAGAGAGAUAAUAUUAGGUUCUUCCUGAAAAAAUAGAUAUGCAUUCCCCCACCUCUAAACAUCUAGUACGUAAGUAAUUUAAAAAUUUACCUUGAAGGGUAAUUUGUCAAUGACUUUCUCAUAGUAGGGUAAAGCAUCCUUCAGUU
rnacentral:lncRNA from 1 species